GAUGAACGCUAGCGGGAGGCUUAACACAUGCAAGUCGAGGGGCAGCAUAGGGUAGCAAUACUCUGAUGGCGACCGGCGCACGGGUGAGUAACACGUAUGCAACCUACCCUGUACAGGGGGAUAACCCGGAGAAAUUCGGACUAAUAUCCCAUAAUGAUAUUGAGGGGCAUCCUUUAAUAUUUAAAGCUCAGGCGGUACGGGAUGGGCAUGCGGAACAUUAGCUAGUUGGGAGGGUAACGGCCUACCAAGGCAACGAUGUUUAGGGGACCUGAGAGGGUGAUCCCCCACACUGGUACUGGGACACGGACCAGACUCCUACGGGAGGCAGCAGUGAGGAAUAUUGGUCAAUGGGCGCAAGCCUGAACCAGCCAUCCCGCGUGCAGGAAGACGGCCCUAUGGGUUGUAAACUGCUUUUCCAGGGGGAGAAUUUUUCUGUCGUGACAGGAAUUGACGGUACCCUGGGAAUAAGCAUCGGCUAACUCCGUGCCAGCCGCCGCGGUAACAC
rnacentral:rRNA from 1 species